GUGGGGAAUCUUCCACAAUGGACGAAAGUCUGAUGGAGCAACGCCGCGUGAGUGAAGAAGGGUUUCGGCUCGUAAAGCUCUGUUGUCGGGGACGAAUGUGCGGUAUUUGAAUAAAGUAGUGCAAUGACGGUACCUGCCGAGGAAGCCACGGCUAACUACGUGCCAGCAGCCGCGGUAAUACGUAGGUGGCAAGCGUUGUCUGGAAUUAUUGGGCGUAAAGGGAGCGCAGGCGGGAAGGUAAGUCGGUCUUAAAAGUGCGGGGCUCAACCCCGUGAUGGGAUCGAAACUAUCUUUCUUGAGUGCAGGAGAGGAAAGUGGAAUUCCUAGUGUAGCGGUGAAAUGCGUAGAUAUUAGGAGGAACACCAGUGGCGAAGGCGACUUUCUGGACUGUAACUGACGCUGAGGCUCGAAAGCCAGGGGAGCGAACGGGAUUAGAUACCCCGGUAGUCC
rnacentral:rRNA from 1 species